AUACAGUUUUUGCACCUUUUGUUCUACUGGGAAAAUGUAGGAGUGUGCAAAUUUCAGUACAUGGCUGUUCUAAGAUCAGCCCUGGUUAGUACUUGGGUAGGAGACUACCAAUGAAUACCAAAUGCUAUAGGCUCUAUUUCAGAGGAAGGAACUGGCAAAAUGAUCUCUGGGUAUUCCUUGCCUAAGAUAUCCCUGUGACAUUUAUGGGGUUGCCAUAAAGAAUGCAGCAAUGAAUGAUCAGGAAUGGGGCUGUAUGGAGUUUAAUGGAAUGGAGUGAGUAGAACUAGUUACCCUUUUUUCUUCAGUCUCUGAGCAACAAACCCAUCUUUUCCAACAGUUAGUUCAGCUCUAAAGUAGGAAAUCUUUGCCCUCCCUUUUUUCUCCACAGUGAUCAUGGAGUAGGAGUGAGAUUGCCCAAUUAAAUACACCCUUUUGUAAAUUCCAGAUACAGAGUUAAAUAAAGUUCCCAUUAUGGUUAUUGCUUUAAGUCAUUUGCAGCAACUAAAUUCAGUUGUUGAAAAUAAAGGGACUUGAACAGAAGUAAAAAGCUUUCUGUGCUGUAUUUGAAUAGAAUACCCCAUAGAGGCAUUCAUCUGAUGCUCAGUGGGAGGCUGGUUUGAAGUUGUCACAAGUGCUAAGGAUUUGAAAUAGGAGCCUACGGAUCCAGCACCUCAUCACCAGAGCAGCUUCUGUCAGGAGGAAAUUGAGAGGAAAAUUUGCAAUACUCCAGGUGAACAGGAUCAGAGGAAGCUGUGGGCUUGGAAGCUGGAUCUUCAAGGAAGUGAACAAAUCUCCCCAGAAGAACAGCUGGUUCCUCACAACUCUCUCAAACUUAGUUCUAAGUUACCUUAUGAAGAAACCUUGGGGUUGGGAUUUGGGAACCUGUUAGUGAUGGCUGCUCCCCACAACCUCCUAGCUCCCUCUCCUUAGAGAAUUGCUGCAAAUCAGUGUAGAUAGCACUACUCUAAGUGGGCCAGUGGUCUGAUUAAAUUUAAGGCCGAUUAUAUUCCACCACCUUUCAAAAUCCUUCUGUCACAAGGAAAGAAAAAAAAACUGAUUGCAUUUAAUCCAAGGCUGCUUUCCUUUUCCAUGGCUGGCGGAAUAAUUGAGUGUGGUUAGCCUGCACAAGCUCCCCACUUCCAAUCACUUUUUCACACAUUAUGAUUGAUAAUUAGUUAGCUCUUCCCAGAGCAGGUGUGUCUUAGCAUAUUAAUUGCUUUCAUUCACACUUUCCGAAAGGUGUUAAUUACCUUGAACAGAGAGCGGGGUGCUAGGGUAGCUCAGCACCUGCUGUUGGGCAGCCAGGAAUACAGUCCUCAGACGUUCAAGGGACCCCUGCCCAGGGACAUUUGGAAAAGACAGAUGGAGAAGCAUCUUGGUCUGUCGAAGCAGGGGGGAUUUGUCAAUGGUCAUUUGCAGAAGGAGGGGGGUGGCUCCAGCAGUCCUUGAAUAGACACCCGUUUGAUGCUGAUGCACAGCCCUAGACAGUUGUGUGACAAUGCUAUGUCCACAGGGUGUUAGAAAUAGGAAAUCUUUUCAUCACAUCUUUCAGCCCAGCAAGAAAAU
rnacentral:lncRNA from 1 species